UAUGGCUGUUCGCCAUUUAAAGUGGUACGCGAGCUGGGUUUAGAACGUCGUGAGACAGUUCGGUCCCUAUCUGCCGUGGGCGCUGGAGAACUGAGGGGGGCUGCUCCUAGUACGAGAGGACCGGAGUGGACGCAUCACUGGUGUUCGGGUUGUCAUGCCAAUGGCACUGCCCGGUAGCUAAAUGCGGAAGAGAUAAGUGCUGAAAGCAUCUAAGCACGAAACUUGCCCCGAGAUGAGUUCUCCCUGACCCUUUAAGGGUCCUGAAGGAACGUUGAAGACGACGACGUUGAUAGGCCGGGUGUGUAAGCGCAGCGAUGCGUUGAGCUAACCGGUACUAAUGAACCGUGAGGCUUAACCUUACAACGCCGAAGGUGUUU
rnacentral:rRNA from 1 species